rnacentral:rRNA from 1 species
CAUGGUGCCUGCAGACGGCUCGGUAGGUCCAAGAAAGUAAUCAUGUAUAAAAGUCGGGUAACUAUGCUAAUUGUGUGGCCAAUACGUGUUCCUUUCAAUAUACAUGAUGUUAUCCCUUGUAACUACAGUUUGACAAUUUGAAUUUUUCGUGGGAAGUGAGGAUAUGUUCCUUAUAAGGGCUGAACUCUGCUCUAUCAGCUGUGGACGGUAGUGUGUUGGACUACGGUGGCUUUGACGGAUAACGGGGAAUUAGGGUUUGAUUCCGGAGAGAAAGCAUGAGAAACGGCUUUCACAACUAAGGUUGGCAGCAGGAGCGAAAACUUUUCUAAUGGGCAUUGCCUGAAAAGGUGACUAUCUGUAUCAUCAACUGCAAAUAUGUAGUUUGAAGGAAUGUAUUAGGCGCAAAUCGACUAUUGAGUAUCAAGUUUAGGGCAAGUCUGGUGCCAGCAGCCGCGGUAAUACCAGCUAAGCUAGAAAUGGGUAAUAUUGUUGCAGUAAAAACGUUCGUAGUUAUCCUUUCGAAUAAUAGUUUUGUUAUAAAGCAAACUAUUUGAGUGAAGUGCAUUCCCAUAAAUGUGUAUCCUCUGCAAAUAAAUUAAAGUGUUAGAGUAAUCGAUCGGGAUAUUGAAGUGCGGUAAAUUGUGGAUUCCAUCUCCUAGCACUGUAUAUGAGUUGUGGAUAAAUUUCAAGAGUUUAUGGGGGUGCUGGUACUUGGCGGCUAGAGGUGAAAUUCAUAGAUUCGCUAGUGUCCUACUGAUGCGAAAGCGUAUACCUAAUAAGUUUUAGUUGAUCAAGAACUAGAGUGUGGGGAUCGAAGAGGAUUAGAUACCCUCGUAGUCCACACUGUAAACUAUGCCGACUAGAGGCUGAUGUGGAGGAGUGCUUCAUCAGAACCUAAGCAGAUAUGAAAGUUUCUGGGCUCUGGGGGGAGUACGGUCGCAAGGGCGAAACUUAAAGGAAUUGACGGAACGGCACCACCAGGGGUGGAGCGUGCGGCUUAAUUUGACUCAACGCGGGAAACCUUACUAGGAUAAAACAUUGUGAUGAUUGACAAACUGGUAGGAUUUUCUAGAUUUGGUGGGUGGUGGUGCAUGGCCGGUCUUAGUUGGUGGUGUGAUCCGUCUGGUUAAUUUCGAUAACGAACGAGAUCCGAGUUGCUCAGUUGGCUUCCAUUUUACAUCUUUAAAGUGUGUUGUUUUUUGAGCGGACAAUUUGUUUAAACAGAGGGAAGUUUCGGGCUAAAUCAGGUCUGUGAUGCCCUUAGAUGUCCUAGGCGGCACGCGCGCUACAAUAGAUUAUUUCAAAAUGCUAAUGCGCUGAAAUGUGUGUUGAAACAUGAAUGUACAUUUGUGAAUGGAAUAGUUUUUUGAAACUUUCGGACUUGAACUAGGAAUCCCUUGUAGGUAUGUUCAAGAAUAGCAAACUGAAUACGUCCCUGCCGUUUGUACACACCGCCCGUCGUUUCUUCCGACUGAUAUCUAUUUUGAGUUGCGUAGAUUUUAUGAAGAAGCGUUGCUAAUGCUAGAUAUGGAGAAGAAAAA